UUUAAUGUGGCAGAAAAGUGCCAUGGAUUUAAGCUCCAUUCAUAAAGGUUGUUUUUAAUUCCUUUCAUUAAAA
rnacentral:tRNA from 1 species